AGAGUUUGAUCCUGGCUCAGGAUGAACGCUAGCGGCAGGCUUAAUACAUGCAGGUCGUGGGGCAGCAGGUCCCGCAGCAAUGCGGGAUGCUGGCGACCGGCAAACGGGUGCGGAACACGUACACAACCUUCCUUUAAGUGGGGAAUAGCCCGGGGAAACCCGGAUUAAUACCCCGUAAUAUAAUAGAGUGGCAUCGCUUUAUAAUUAUAGCUCCGGCGGUUGAAGAUGGGCGUGCGUCUGAUUAGGUAGUUGGCGGGGUAACGGCCCACCAAGCCUACGAUCAGUAACUGGUGUGAGAGCACGACCAGUCACACGGGCACUGAGACACGGGCCCGACUCCUACGGGAGGCAGCAGUAAGGAAUAUUGGUCAAUGGACGCAAGUCUGAACCAGCCAUGCCGCGUGGAGGAUGAAGGUCCUCUGGAUUGUAAACUUCUUUUAUUUGGGAAGAAACCCCCGAUUUCUAUUGGGGUUGACGGUACCAGAUGAAUAAGCACCGGCUAACUCCGUGCCAGCAGCCGCGGUAAUACGGAGGGUGCAAGCGUUAUCCGGAUUCACUGGGUUUAAAGGGUGCGUAGGCGGGUUGGUAAGUCCGUGGUGAAAUCUCCAAGCUUAACUUGGAAACUGCCGUGGAUACUAUCAAUCUUGAAUAUAGUGGAGGUGAGCGGAAUAUGUCAUGUAGCGGUGAAAUGCUUAGAUAUGACAUAGAACACCCAUUGCGAAGGCAGCUCGCUACACUAUUAUUGACGCUGAGGCACGAAAGCGUGGGGAUCAAACAGGAUUAGAUACCCUAGUAGUCC
rnacentral:rRNA from 1 species